AAAUUGAAGAGUUUGAUCAUGGCUCAGAUUGAACGCUGGCGGCAGGCCUAACACAUGCAAGUCGAGCGGAAACGACAACAUUGAAUCUUCGGAGGAUUUGUUGGGCGUCGAGCGGCGGACGGGUGAGUAAUGCCUAGGAAAUUGCCUUGAUGUGGGGGAUAACCAUUGGAAACGAUGGCUAAUACCGCAUAAUGCCUACGGGCCAAAGAGGGGGACCUUCGG
rnacentral:rRNA from 1 species